rnacentral:rRNA from 1 species
UACGUAGGGUCCAAGCGUUAAUCGGAAUUACUGGGCGUAAAGCGUGCGCAGGCGGUUCUGAAAGUCAGCUGUGAAAGCCCCGGGCUUAACCUGGGAAUGGCGGUUGAAACUACAGGACUAGAAUCUGGCAGAGGGGGGUGGAAUUCCACGUGUAGCAGUGAAAUGCGUAGAGAUGUGGAGGAACGCCGAUGGCGAAGGCAGCCCCCUGGGCCAGCACUGACGCUCAUGCACGAAAGCGUGGGGAGCAAACAGG